AACAUUUGAAUUGUGUUUAUUAAAAAAUGCUCUCACGUUAAAAAGUCCUCGUAUCAGAUGAGAACCUUCUGGCUGCGUCAGAAUUAUCACACGCUUAGUCCGGUCCACGUCAGAUUCCUAAAUUUGAGAAAACCAUUUGUCUUUUUCUUAUUCAGAAGGUUAUUAAUCUUUUUGCUCUGUUAUUAUUUCUUCGUCACGAGAAUGGUUCACUUCAUAGUUCAGAGUUCAGACAUACUUUUUCUGGUU